AAAAGUUUUGGUGAUGAGACAUUCAGGAAGAUCUAUCAAUAAAUAGCAAACCUGGUCCUUUUUAAGACACUGUGUAUAAAAAAAUUCCAAAAAGAUUAAAAUCAAUGCAGAAACCAAAGAACCAUUUUUUUCUAUAUCAUAUUGAUCAUUUCAAGUGGAACUGUUAGCUAUCUUAGAAAAAUUGUGGUUCUCAAUUGCUUUUGCCUCUAUCUCUGAACCACCAAUCCUAAAGAAAAACAUUCAACCAGAAAAUUUCAGCACAUCACAAUCUCUCUGAAGAUUAAGAAGUCUCUGUGAAGGACUGAAUGUAUAAAUUGAAAAAUUUUUGCUGUCACAUUUAGGUAAAAGAGAAAUCGUUCUUCAUAUCCCCUUCCUUUCCAUCUGUAGCUCACCUAUGUCAACUUUCCUCUCAGAAGUGAAAUAAAAUUAAAGCUAUGACACUGAGUGUCAGUCAUGGAGGGACACGUUCCCCACUUAGCCUUUGCUGAAGUGUUUCCAGAGACAACUGUCUAAUGCCAGGUCCCCACUUAGUGGGCUGCACUUUUCUACUCAUUUGCACAUAAUCCAGAAGUCACAUUUUGGGUUCACAGUUUCCACUGGGGUAACCUCAUUAGGCCUGGCCACCUCUGUGCUUCUUGUGAAGUCUCUGAUUUGAAGGAUUAGUAUCCUUUCCAGACUGUGUGGGUUGACUUUCACCCAUCUGGAGUUGCUUGGAACAAAAAUAACUACCUCAACUCCUUGUCACGAAAGCAAAAAACAAGAUAGCAUUAGAGUUCUGAGAACAGGAUGUCAUUACGGGUUGUGCCUUGUCAGCUACAGGUAAGAUAUUUGAGUGGCUCCUCAAGCCUCCCCAACUCCCUCUCCGACCUCGCUACACAGUCUUCCCAGGUGUGGUAUUUGACCUCCAGACUGCCACCCAGAAAGCAACUCAGAGCUCAGCAACACCAUGAUGAUGAAACACAAAUAUCUGGGCCACCAACUUUGGAGACUCCACUGGUUGCUUUUGUGCAGCUCUUUCUAUAUAUGACUUUCAAAAUGGCAGCCAACCCUCUCAACUGUUGGUUGAUCUGAAUAUGUAAAGUUCAGCCUUCAAACCCAGCAAACAGUCAGCUAUAGGAUAGAGUUCAGGUGCUGGGGAAUGACCACGGUUGGCUGCUACGUUGGGAACCCUGGUGACAUCAUAUAUGGACCUGGGAAUGUAAAGAAACGUAGGAAAUCUGAAUUUAUGACUUUUCUAAUCUCUCUAUCGGGAUCCUUUUUUGGAAUCAAGAUGAUUUUCCUUCUAAAAGGUCAUUUUAUUACAGUAAUGGGCAGGGUAGACAUACCUCACUAGCGUACUCUCAAAAUUUCUUGCAUGCAUAUGCUUUCUCCGGCAUGCAUAUGCUUUCUACUACAAUGUGAACAAGCCUACGAAAGCUAGCCUAAUGGAGGAUGAGAGACCACGUGGAGGAGAGCUGAAGUGCCCCAGCCAGCAGCUAGCCUACACCCACAGCUAUUUUGCUUGUGUUCCACUCGUCCUAUUUGCAUAAUAUUGUUCUUUAAGUUAACCCAUUCUUAAUUUAUUGUUUUAAUCUUAAGCAAUAAUAUUCAAGAACUAAUGAGUUUUGUGUAUUCGUUAUAUUUUUCCAUAAUAUAUAUUAUACUAAUAAAUGCCCAUUCAAAUUUU
rnacentral:lncRNA from 10 species